AGAGUUUGAUCCUGGCUCAGGAUGAACGCUAGCUACAGGCUUAACACAUGCAAGUCGAGGGGCAGCAUGGUCUUAGCUUGCUAAGGCCGAUGGCGACCGGCGCACGGGUGAGUAACACGUAUCCAACCUGCCGUCUACUCUUGGACAGCCUUCUGAAAGGAAGAUUAAUACAAGAUGGCAUCAUGAGUCCGCAUGUUCACAUGAUUAAAGGUAUUCCGGUAGACGAUGGGGAUGCGUUCCAUUAGAUAGUAGGCGGGGUAACGGCCCACCUAGUCUUCGAUGGAUAGGGGUUCUGAGAGGAAGGUCCCCCACAUUGGAACUGAGACACGGUCCAAACUCCUACGGGAGGCAGCAGUGAGGAAUAUUGGUCAAUGGGCGAGAGCCUGAACCAGCCAAGUAGCGUGAAGGAUGACUGCCCUAUGGGUUGUAAACUUCUUUUAUAAAGGAAUAAAGUCGGGUAUGGAUACCCGUUUGCAUGUACUUUAUGAAUAAGGAUCGGCUAACUCCGUGCCAGCAGCCGCGGUAAUACGGAGGAUCCGAGCGUUAUCCGGAUUUAUUGGGUUUAAAGGGAGCGUAGGUGGAUUGUUAAGUCAGUUGUGAAAGUUUGCGGCUCAACCGUAAAAUUGCAGUUGAAACUGGCAGUCUUGAGUACAGUAGAGGUGGGCGGAAUUCGUGGUGUAGCGGUGAAAUGCUUAGAUAUCACGAAGAACUCCGAUUGCGAAGGCAGCCUGCUAAGCUGCAACUGACAUUGAGGCUCGAAAGUGUGGGUAUCAAACAGGAUUAGAUACCCUGGUAGUCCACACGGUAAACGAUGAAUACUCGCUGUUUGCGAUAUACUGCAAGCGGCCAAGCGAAAGCGUUAAGUAUUCCACCUGGGGAGUACGCCGGCAACGGUGAAACUCAAAGGAAU
rnacentral:rRNA from 1 species